rnacentral:rRNA from 1 species
UACUCAUAACGGUGGAUCACUGGACUCGUGGAUCGAUGAAGACGCAGUUAGCUUGCGAGAAAUAGUGCGAAUUGCAGACAAAUUAAGCACUAAAAUUCCGAACUCACGUUGCGUCAUCGGGUCGAAUGCGUCUGCCUCUCAUCAGGAGCGAGU